UCGUCGCUAGCUUAGUACAAGUAAAACCGGUGAAACAGCUACAUUGCCAAAACUUACUCCAAAAUACCAAAUCUCAUGCUAUAUAGUUUUUCAUCAUUAGCUGCUUAGCUUGUACUCCUACUAUUUUUGUGAUAUCAUAAUUAAUCAUGCUGCAUCACGUUUCAAUGUAUGGUCUCAUCUAAUAAAAUAAUAAUAAUAAUAUAAUACAACAUAUUGCUUUCACAAGUAGUUCAUUCAUACGAAUUCCAAUUUCCUUUGCAAAAUACAAUUAUCACUUUAGUUGUUUUCAUUCUGAAGCACUGCAUAUCAAUGGAGACCAAAGUGGGUUCACACCACAAUGGGGAAAACUCAAGAACUGAAAAACACCGAGGAACUGAAGACUGGUAUGGCUGAGUUGAAAGCAUUGUUCUCCAAUAUCGAAACCUCUCUAACAACGCUAGUGUUAUUUUUUUAUUUUGGUUAACAAGCGCAGCAAUUAACUUGCUUGUUGUUAGUAUCUGUUAUUGGGCCUCUUUUGAAUUAUGUAAAGUCAUUAAGACAUAAAUUAGGCCGUAAUAACUUUUUAUGCAUUUUGAAUGUACUGUUGGUUGGUGUCUGAUUAAUUUAUCGUUUUAGGACCCAGUAAGUUACUUACUCUUCAUGGGUAAGACUUUUGUGAUUUGGGAAUUACCUAUCAAGCUUUGGUAUGAUGAUCUUUGUUCA